AGUACGCACUUCGGUGCAAUGUACGAGUGGCGAACGGGUGAGUAACACGUGAGAAACCUGCCUCGGAGACCGGGACAACCAUUGGAAACGAUGGCUAAUACCGGAUGUCCUUUUACGGUCGCAUGACUGUUUGAGGAAAUGAUCCGUCGCUCCGGGAGGGUCUCGCGGCCUAUCAGCUUGUUGGUGAGGUAAUGGCUCACCAAGGCAUCGACGGGUAGCUGGUCUGAGAGGACGAUCAGCCACACUGGGACUGAGACACGGCCCAGACUCCUACGGGAGGCAGCAGUAGGGAAUCUUGCACAAUGGGCGAAAGCCUGAUGCAGCGACGCCGCGUGGGGGAUGAAGGCCUUCGGGUUGUAAACCCCUUUCAGUAGGGACGAAAAUGACGGUACCUACAGAAGAAGCUCCGGCCAACUACGUGCCAGCAGCCGCGGUAACACGUAGGGAGCAAGCGUUGUCCGGAUUUAUUGGGCGUAAAGAGCUCGUAGGUGGUUCGGUAAGUCGGAUGUGAAAACUCAAGGCUCAACCUUGA
rnacentral:rRNA from 1 species